GAUGAACGCUGGCGGCGUGCCUAAUACAUGCAAGUCGAGCGAACAGACGAGGAGCUUGCUCCUCUGACGUUAGCGGCGGACGGGUGAGUAACACGUGGAUAACCUACCUAUAAGACUGGGAUAACUUCGGGAAACCGGAGCUAAUACCGGAUAAUAUAUUGAACCGUAUGGUUCAAUAGUGAAAGACGGUUUUGCCGUCACUUAUAGAUGGAUCCGCGCCGCAUUAGCUAGUUGGUAAGGUAACGGCUUACCAAGGCAACGAUGCGUAGCCGACCUGAGAGGGUGAUCGGCCACACUGGAACUGAGACACGGUCCAGACUCCUACGGGAGGCAGCAGUAGGGAAUCUUCCGCAAUGGGCGAAAGCUUGACGGAGCAACGCCGCGUGAGUGAUGAAGGUCUUCGGAUCGUAAAACUCUGUUAUUAGGGAAGAACAAAUGUGUAAGUAACUAUGCACGUCUUGACGGUACCUAAUCAGAAAGCCACGGCUAACUACGUG
rnacentral:rRNA from 1 species